AGACGGGUAGCGGGUGUGAGAGCACGGCCCGCCGCAUCGAGACUGAGACACUGCUCGGACUCCUACGGGAGGCUGCAGUAACGAAUCUUCCGCAAUGCGCGAAAGCGUGACGGGGCAAUGCCGCGUGUGGGAUGAAGCCCUUCGGGGUGUAAACCACUGUCAGGGUUUAGGAAACAAAUGACCAUACCCAAAGGAAGCACCGGCUAACUCUGUGCCAGCAGCCGCGGUAAUACAGAGGGUGCAAGCGUUAAUCGGAAUCACUGGGCUUAAAGCGUUCGUAGGCGGGCUUGAAGGCGCCUUGUGAAAUCCCCCGGCUCAACCGGGGAAUUGCUCGGCGAACCGCAGGCCUUGAGUCAAGUAGAGGCACCUGGAACGAUAGGUGGAGCGGUGAAAUGCGUAGAUAUCUAUCGGAACGCCAAAUGUGAAGACAGGGUGCUGGGCUUGUACUGACGCUGAGGAACGAAAGCGUGGGGAGCAAACGGGAUUAGAUACCCCGGUAGUCCACGCCGUAAACGAUGCGCACUAGGUCGGGGAGGCUGACGCCCUCCUGGCCGAAGAAAAAUUGCUUAGUGCGCCGCCUGGGGAGUACGGUCGCAAGGCUAAAACUCAAAGGAAUUGACGGGGGCUCACACAAGCGGUGGAGCAUGUGGCUUAAUUCGAAGCAACGCGAAGAACCUUAUCCUAGGCUUGACAUGCACGGAUCAACUUCCUGAAAGGGAAGCCACACCCGCAAGGGCGGAACGUGCACAGGUGCUGCAUGGCUGUCGUCAGCUCGUGCUGUGAAGUGUCGGGUUAAGUCCCUCAACGAGCGAAACCCCUGUCGUUAGUUGCUCACGGGUAAUGCCGAGGACUCUAGCGAGACUGCCGGUGUCAAACCGGAGGAAGGUGGGGAUGACGUCAAGUCCUCAUGGCCUUUAUGCCUAGGGCUGCACACGUGCUACAAUGGCGGAUACAGAACGAUGCAAGACCGCAAGGUGGAGCAAAUCGCUUAAAGUCCGCCCCAGUUCGGAUUGGAGGCUGCAACUCGCCUCCAUGAAGUCGGAAUCGCUAGUAAUCGCGGAUCAGCUACGCCGCGGUGAAUAUGUUCCUGAGCCUUGUACACACCGCCCGUCAAGUCAUGGGAGCUGGCAGUGCCCAAAGUCGCCUCGAUUCAGGGGUGCCUACGGCAAGGCUGGUGACUGGGACCUUUAUCGUGACUGGGAAACAGAUCGGAAGAGCACACG
rnacentral:rRNA from 1 species